AUGAGUGUUUUCAUAAAAGUCACUUAACUUUAAUUUCCUUCGUAAAACUCUCUGAACUUUAAUUUGAUUUCAUAAAAGUUGUUGUGAUCGAAAAUUAGAUGUUUUUAGGUUAAUUUGCCGACUUAUCAACAAUUUUACAAAUAAAUUUACCUAGCUAGCCCUUCCCCUCUCUCUCUUCUCCCUCCCUCUCUCUCACAGAUUCUAUCUCUCUUUUCUCCCUAUCUCCUUUUCCCUCACACAUUCUAAUUUGGAAGUGGAACACUAUCUAAUCUCAUCGCUUCUUCAGUUCUAUCUCUUAAUCUCUCAUCCUUGUGCCGUAAGCCUUUCACCUUUCAGCCUCACCAUUUUUUACUAUAAUCUCUUCCCCCCAACCCUCGAUUUCUUGUCUCCCACCCAACCUGCCUCGAGACCCACUCAAUUGAAGCCUCGAUUACACUCUAGAGCCUCCCUCGAUCGCACCCACAUGCAUAGGCUUCUCCUACAUAUCUAAAGAAAGCAGAUGCAGACGAAGACAUAGAUGGCUUCUGUUGUAGAUGAACCUCGUGGUGCUAUUUCCAUCAUUUGUCCUUGUGCUGCUGAGAUCCAGGUCGUGGAGAUGAAGAUGACUUCUCUUGCUUCUAGUUGAUUAUUGAAUGACGAAGAUGAAUGGGUGAUUGGUGAAGAUAGCGACGUUUUCAAUUUGCAUUUGUAUUUUGUUGUUUGUUGUUUUGAGUUGUAAAUGAAAAUGGUUAUGUUGUUGUUGUAAACAAUUGCUGCUUCAAUUGAGUUUUUAUUGUUGGAAAUGGAAAUAAUUGCUGGGUUCUUUUUCAAUUGAAAAUGGGCGAUGUUUUGUUUGAUAAAUCCUUAAAGAUAGGUGAGAGUAAAUAGGUAAAGGGUACUUAAGUAAUUUUAUUUAUAAAAUGAUGCAAAGUCAGCAAGUUGACUGGAAAAUUUGUAAUAUUAGGUCACAAUGACUUUUCAAAGGGCUCUCAUCUCUCAAGGUUGAGCCGCAUCUUGGAUUUUAAGGGUCAAGUCCAUUAGGAUUGAGUUUAGACCAAGUCGAAGUGUCAAACUAAAUUGGAGGAAGAAUGAUUUUGGCGUUCUGCUCAUGAGGAAGGUUGUGAUUGUGUGAGACAGAGAGAAAUAGAGGGAAAUCUGCAAAAAAAAAGUUGAGACAACAUUCAUAAGAGUGGCUAUCAUUAGCCGGUCCCAAGCCCGGAUA
rnacentral:misc_RNA from 1 species